rnacentral:rRNA from 1 species
GACGAACGCUGGCGGCGUGCUUAACACAUGCAAGUCGAACGGAAAGGCCCUGCUUUUGUGGGGUGCUCGAGUGGCGAACGGGUGAGUAACACGUGAGUAACCUGCCCUUGACUUUGGGAUAACUUCAGGAAACUGGGGCUAAUACCGGAUAGGAGCUCCUGCUGCAUGGUGGGGGUUGGAAAGUUUCGGCGGUUGGGGAUGGACUCGCGGCUUAUCAGCUUGUUGGUGGGGUAGUGGCUUACCAAGGCUUUGACGGGUAGCCGGCCUGAGAGGGUGACCGGCCACAUUGGGACUGAGAUACGGCCCAGACUCCUACGGGAGGCAGCAGUGGGGAAUAUUGCACAAUGGGCGGAAGCCUGAUGCAGCAACGCCGCGUGCGGGAUGACGGCCUUCGGGUUGUAAACCGCCUUCGCCUGUGGCGAAGCGUGAGUGACGGUAAUGGGUAAAGAAGCACCGGCUAACUACGUG